rnacentral:rRNA from 1 species
UACGUAGGGGACGAGCGUUGUCCGGAAUUACUGGGCGUAAAGGGCGUGUAGGUGGACUGAUCAGUCGGGUGUGAAAUAUCCAGGCUCAACCUGGAGGGUGCAUCCGAUACGGUCAGUCUUGAGUGCAGGAGAGGGCAGUGGAAUUCCCAGUGUAGCGGUGAAAUGCGUAGAUAUUGGGAGGAACACCAGUGGCGAAAGCGGCUGCCUGGACUGUAACUGACACUGAGGCGCGAAAGCGUGGGGAGCAAACAGGAUUAGAUA